CAAGUACAGCAGCGGUGAUGAAGAGGAGGAGGAGAGGGAAGAGAAGAAAGAAGGAGAAAAAUAAACAAAAACAGGAUGAGAGGCGGAACAGGAGACAAUUUUUUUGCAACAGACGGGCCGGGAGUGGAGGAGGAUAUGGCGACAAGGGCACGGAGCCAGAGCAGGAGGAGGAAACAUGUGCUCUCACUAAUGACAGAGUGUCAGGACUGCCCUUGCUGGGGGAAGGAGGCGUGUCAAGGUGUGCUUCACUUCAGCGACGACCACAUCAGACACGGCGGCAGACCGCCGCUAAGUGACUGAGCUCAGGAAGAGUCCAGACAUUAACCUUCCAUCAGACAUUAUGUGCAAAGACACGUCGAGUUUGACUUCCAGGAGAAAAUAAAUCUUUUCUGUUACUUUGACCGUCUCUGCCUGUGUUAGUUUGUCAGCGUUGGUGCUGGCUGGGAUGUAGCUCCAACCAUCAUUAAAGGACAAUGGAUCGAAAAAUGUACGGCAGCGAAUGAUGGGUUUCCAUGGAUACAUAAGUGGAGGGGAUGUGCAGUAAAGCAAAAGACAGGUCCAAAGUGCAAAUGGCAGCGUGUUUUUAUUCAGUUCUACUCAGGACUGUGUGGUCAGGUACAUUCAGCGGUGCUCUGGCUCUCACAUGAUGUUAGGUGACAUUUAAUCUUGCGUAGCCGGACCUUUGUGUCUGACGGAGGUCUGGAGAAAACCUUAUUUAAAUCAUUUCGGUCCAUAGCAUUACUUUGUUGGUUCAAAGUGUUAGAACGGCAAACCGUGGACGCUUUUUCUAUCUGACAAUUGUGGUUAAAUGUAUAGCUUAAACAGACGUAAAACCUUCUCUGGUUCCAGCUUCACAGAUUUGCUGCUUUUCUCAGCUUUAUAUCAUUAUAAACCAGGAAACGGGCCCGCUAUGGCAAAAUAACAAGGAUUUUUUCACAGAAGAAAAGAUCAAAGUGUAGACGUUAACAGCAACCAGCUUUGCGGUCAAAAAAAGCAAAGUAAAAAAACCAAAAAAAAACCCUGCCUUAAUCUGAUCCCUGAGCCUGAC